GCGAAUGUCGUCUCUUGGGACCGUUCUUCUCCGCAACCAUGGAGAUUCGAAAAGAAAGAGAUCUGUUUUAUAAAAUCGGUAACAAAGAAUAUAAAAAAGUAGUCUUUUUUUCCCUUGGGAAUCAAUUAAGGAAAGGACCCAAAAAAUUGACUCGAAUUAGUUAGG